GUCAUUCUCCUAGUGUUCACUGUUGGCCUGUAUGUUUUUGUAACGCAUAAGGCACGCGGUGAAUGCCAAGAGCAGACUU
rnacentral:pre_miRNA from 15 species